rnacentral:rRNA from 1 species
GACGAACGCUGGCGGCGUGCUUAACACAUGCAAGUCGAACGAAAAGAGGGAAAGAGCUUGCUCUUUCCGGAAUUGAGUGGCAAACGGGUGAGUAACACGUAAACAACCUGCCUUCAGGAUGGGGACAACAGACGGAAACGACUGCUAAUACCGAAUAAGUUCCAAGGGCCGCAUGGCCCAUGGAAGAAAAGGUGGCCUCUACCUGUAAGCUAUCGCCUGAAGAGGGGUUUGCGUCUGAUUAGCUGGUUGGAGGGGUAACGGCCCACCAAGGCGACGAUCAGUAGCCGGUCUGCGAGGAUGAGCGGCCAAACUGGAACUGAGACACGGUCCAGACUCCUACGGGAGGCAGCAGUGGGGAAUCUUCCGCAAUGGGCGAAAGCCUGACGGAGCAACGCCGCGUGAGUGAUGACGGCCUUCGGGUUGUAAAACUCUGUGAUCCGGGACGAAAAGGCAGAGUGCGAAGAACAAACUGCAUUGACGGUACCGGAAAAGCAAGCCACGGCUAACUACGUG